UCACUCAUGGCGCGACAACAGUGAAGACCACGAUCCGGAGGUGGGGAGCCGACACUUCGGAGGACGAAGUUCAAGGAGUUCAUCCGUGGCUUUGAGACCGACAAGAAUGUACGUUUUCCCCUACAGAGAAAGCCUCGUCCACAAUCCCAACAAGUCCCUUCUCGUCGACUUGGAAGAUCGCGAUUCGUGCGACCUUGACCUCCUGGCCUUGCUCCGCUCCUCCCCCGCCGACUAGUUGGCUCUUUUUGAGACGACGGCGGCGGAGGUUUUGGUGAGCUUGCGGUCGAAAGGGCUGGAGAGACUGGAGAAAUGGAAGAUCUGAUGACCGGGAACGUUCAGGUCUUGCUGACAUCGAAGGAGGAUCCGGUCUCAAUGAGGUUUCUUGGGAUGGAAGGAUGUAGAUCGAGAGCUACGGACCCCUUCGCAGCUUUGCUCUGCAUCUUCGUUUUGCUCCAGCGAGGGAGUUGACUCGGCCGAAUCGAUUUUGCUAUUGCUGACUGAGUCAGACCAGAUCUGGAUGAGGCGCUAGAGGGUGCGGUUGGGUACGAACUCCUUGCUGUGGAGGACUUGCAUGGUGGCCGGGCAGGUGUUGUUGAUGUUGUUGAGCCAACGUUGAAUACUGGAGCGGUCUUAGGUGAUCGGUUAAUUGGGUAAUUACCCGACUCGACCCUUUUGAAAACGAAUGGAAAUAACCGGUUCCGAACUGUUUUCCUUCGGAUCGGUUGAAUUGUUACGGGUCGGGUCGGAACUCUCGGGUCAGACCAGGUGGGCGGCUUAAUUGUUCACCCCAGCCUGCAUCUAGGACCAAUGCACAAGCGACAUAUGUGACUCUUAUCUGCAAGCACUGUAGAAAUUCAAAGCAAGUUCCUUGUCGGCCAGGCCAUGGUGGUGCAAUUGUCCCUCGCUCUUGUGAUAAUAUCCCUCAGCCGAGAGAAGAGCCAUGCCCACUUGAUCCAUGGCUUGUGGUUCUAGAUAAGAGCAAGUAUAUAUGUCGAUCAACAAACCUUGAAACUGCAGGAGAAUCCAGAGGAUGUUCCAACUGGGGUCCGGAGCUUCCGAGGAACAUGCUUCUAUCUGUGGAUCGCCAUCUUGUUCAAACAAUUGUACCUGGCAUGCGAUUGACGAUCACUUGUAUGUACAAAAGGAGAAGAGAAUUUAUUUAUACACAUUCCAAAUAGACAAGCUGGUAGACUUUUGUGAAAAGUUAAACCCAACCUUGAAAAAGUAUAAGAAAACUGUUCUUUUUAGACUU